rnacentral:rRNA from 1 species
GCCUGCCCAGUGACCCUGUUCAACGGCCGCGGUAUCCUAACCGUGCAAAGGUAGCGUAAUCACUUGUUCUUUAAAUAUGGACUAGUAUGAACGGCACCACGAGGGCUAUACUGUCUCCUUUUCCCAAUCAGUGAAACUAAUCUCCCCGUGAAGAAGCGAGGAUAAAAUUAUAAGACGAGAAGACCCCAUGGAGCUUUAAACAAUGUAGCACCUGCCCCACGAUAUAAAAAUUUCUGAAUUCAAACCCACCAAGCAGCAUGACUAUAAGUUUUUGGUUGGGGUGACCACGGAGCAUAAAACAACCUCCACGCUGAAAGAAUCUUUUUUUAAGCUAAGAACUACCCAUCUAAGCAUCAAUUUAUUGACACCCAUUGACCCAAUAUACUUGAACAACGAACCAAGUUACCCUGGGGAUAACAGCGCA